CGAAAAAGAAGGCACAAGUGAAUGUGCAGGUAUGCAUGUGCGCGACUGGAGGAUAGAGUGAGAAGGCCGAAAAUGAGUAAAGGGGAGCCGAAUUAAAAAUGAAGCCUAAGUCGAGGUUUCGUUAGAGAAAGAGGACAUGCUAGUCCUGGAUGGGAAAGACGGAAGGCGUACAGAGACUGUUGGAUGAUCCUCGACGGUCUUAGAGGAGCUCUAGGGGAACAUUUCCUAGGUACUCAGGCUCAGGCAGGGUUUUGCAGGGGGGAAUAUGGCGGAGAUGAGAGAUGUGGCUUUCACUAUUACUCUCAGGGAUUGUUUAAGUCCACUAUUAGUCAGGUGACGUCCCAGCUCCGUUGGAAGGACCCGAGAGAGAAGGCGCAAGUGAAUGCGUAGGUGGGCAUGUGUGUGAAUGGAGGAAAGAGUGAGAAGAAAAAAAAUGGAGCCUACUUUGGGAUUUCGUUGGACAAAGAGGACGUGCUUGCCCUGGAAGAGGAUUGUUCCAUACCACUUACUAGUCAUUUCACCUUUUGGGAUUGCCUUGAAUUCAACUGAGGAAGCUACCCGCCGGAGUGAUGGACUUUUCCAUUGUUUCUAAAAGUUUCCUGUGGAAUUAAGUUGGACAUUCUGUUUAUUUCCUAAAGAAGAGGACAUCUUAGGACAUUGUGUAGUUUUCUGUUUGACAUUUCAUAAGGCGAGGAUAUGAGUAUCUAUGAUUAGCUGCUGUGAGAUUGCUACACGUGCACGUGAGCUGGGCAGAAUGGUGUGAACUGUGAAAUUGUGCCUGUUGUGCUGUUGCCUAAAACUGACAAUAUAUUUUAUUGGUUGUCAAUGCGUUCGGACCCAUAGUAGGAAACCUUUUGCCAAUCCCAUUUAAAUAAAUUAUUGUGGGUUCCCAGACACACACAAUCUAAAUUCAGUCCCUUCAGAAAUGAUUCAUACUCCUUGAAUUAUUCCACAUUUGGUUGUGUUGCAGCCUGAAUUCAAAAUGGAUUUUGUUCUCUCACCCAUUCACACACACACACAAUACUCCAUAAUGACAAAGUGAAAACUUGUUUUGAGAAAAUGUUACUAAUUUAUUGAAAAUGAAAUACAGAAAUAGUGUCUCAUUUAGAGAAGUAUUCACACCACGUUGCUAUGACAUUCUAAAUUGAGCUCAGGUGCAUCCAAUUUUCUUUUGACCUUCCUUGAUUAGAAUCCACCUGGACAAUUCAAUGAUACAUUAUGAAUAUGGUAUUCAGGUGAGGUUAUCUAUGAGAUUAUCGGUUUACUGUUGUGCGCAUUCAGUUUGCCUACAAAAUAGCUUUACACACAUACCUCAAUGGAAUAUUAAACUUUGUGUAACACAGAGCCGUAACAACAUCAAAAACCAAAGCAACUGUCUGUAUUUACAUGUAUUGUAAAUGUUUAUCAGCACAGCAUUAUGACAGCAUUUUCUAAACUGCAGAGGGGGUUCUUGCUAUUAUUUUGUAGGUUUUCUAUACCAUUAUCUUCUGUAGAAUGCUAACUUUGGUGCAAAUGCCAGAGUUGAGUGGAAGUUUAAGGACAUGACGGGUUCUACAACCAAUGUCAUUUUUGACAAACACACCUGUCUAUAUAAAGGUCCCACAGUUGUCAGAGCAGAAACUAUACCAUAAAGUCCAUAGAUUGCCAAGAAUUGUGAUGAGGCAAAUACCUGGGGAAGGGUAUGAAACAAUUUCUAGAGUGUUUAAAGUUUCCAAGAGCACAGCGGUCUCCAACAUUGGGGAAAAUAAAUGUAACUACCCAGACUCUGCCUAGAGCUGGCUGUCUGACCAAACUGAGCAACAAGGACCUUGGACAGGGAGGUGACCAAGAAACCAAUGACCACUCUCACAGAACUACAGAGUUCUAUGGGAGAACCUGACAGAAAGACAAGUCUCUACAGCACUUCACCAAUCUGGGUAUAUUGGUAGAGUGGCCAGACGGAAGCCACUCCUGGGGAAAAAGGCACAUGACAGCAUGCCGGGGGUUUGUAAAAAGGCAUGUGAAAGACUGAGGUCAUAAGACAAAAUAUUAUGUGGUCUGAUGAGACAAAAAUGUAAAUAUUUGAUCUGAAUGGAAAGCGUUAUAUCUGGAGAAAACCAGGCAAAACUCAUCACCUGUCUAACACCAUCCCUACGGUGAGGCAUGGUGGUGGCAGCAUCAUGUUAUGAAGCAGGGACUGGGAGACUUGUAAGGAUAAAGGAAACAACGAAUGGAGCCAAAAACAGACAAAUCCUUGAUGAGAACCUGCUUCAAAGUGCAAAUGACCGUAGACUGGGGGGCGAAGACUUACAUUACAACCAGUGGCGGCCAGUGCCGUCUAAGAUGAGGGAGGACACUUUUUUUCUUCAUGAGCAUUGCCUUUUUCUAUUACAGCAUACUGGAUUGCUCUAAAUGAUAUUCCAUUCACCCAGUUCAAUGUAAAUGCGAUAGUUUUAGGCUACUACAUGAUACAGAAAAUAUCCCUAUACCCAUCAUGAGGUUGCUAAAACCUAGCCUAUGAAUAAAAGUUUACAAAGUAGGUGCACACAGGUCAAGAGACAAAUGAGGUGACAGAGAGUGACAUUCAAUACCACCUUGCACACUCUUGCCUGCAUCUAGCUGAUAUCGGGUGUAAUCAUUAGUCCAACAGAUGCAAACAAGAGUUUCUAUUGGAAAAAUUCAGGUAUGUUUAUCCCGUUUUUUUCUUUGCUUCCAUUUAAGAAACGUUUUUCAACAGAAUCGUCGGAAUGAAUAAACCCCUAAUCACGUGUAAACAGAGUUCACUCUCAUAACAGCCACAUUCUUUUCCUUCUCUUCCCUUCGUUUGUGGACUUCAAUGAACAACAAAUCAGCUGUAUGUGAUCAGGUGAAAAAACCUUUCCAAGCCAAACCUCUACAAACACCCUACAUUGUUGUCACCAUGUGAGCUAAGGUAACGUCAUAGUCAGCAUAGCUAAUAGAACUAAUGCGUUAGUAAACCCGCUAUGGCAAUGACCCUAUGCACACAGCCAAGGCAAUGCAGGAAUGGAUUCAGAACAAGAAUGUGAAAGUCCUUGAGUAGACCAGCAAAAUCCCAGACUUGAAUCCCAUAGAAAUUCUGUGGAAAGACUUGAAGAUUCCUGUUCACCGCUGCUCCCCAUCUAACUUCACAGAGCUUGAGAAAAUCUGCAAGGAAGAAUGGAAGAAAAUCCCCAAAUCCAGAUGUGCAAAGCUGAUACAGACAUACCCAUGAUGACUCAAUGCUGUAAUCGCCACCAAAGGUGCUUCUACAAAGUAUUGACUCAGGUGUGUGAAUAGUUAUGUAAAUUAGAUAUUGAUGAAUUUCAUUUCUGAUAAAUUUGCCAAAAAUGUUAUGGGGUAUUGUGUGUAGAUGGGUGAGAAAAAUAAUAUUUAAUAUGUUUUUAUUCAGACUGUAACACAAGAAAAUGUGUAAUAAGUCAAGUAUGAAUACUUUCUCUAGGCACUGUAAGUAUGUUUUUAAGAGUUCUUUACUAAUAGCG
rnacentral:lncRNA from 1 species